ensembl:lncRNA
UCAGGGUGACUCACGCUGCGCACAGGAGGGGUGGCCAGGCGACCCCUGCAGCGCCCUGGGUGCACUGUGUCACUAGGCAUCUGAAGAGCCGCUCAGCUGUGUCCAGCCGGGCGUCGCCCCCUCCUCGGGGACUCCACCUCCUGCAGGCACAGUGGGCCACGCCUGCGUUUCCUCCUGGAAAAGCCUCCGCUCCUACUUCGCCCUCCAUUUCUGUGACUUGGGAGCGUCGGCCAGGCGUCCUUUGGAAAUGUCUGGGGAGCUGUCCCCUGCAGAAAUGGACACUGCCCCCGAAGCCUUGGAAUGUCAUGACUGCCCACGGGAGUGAGGCUUCUUCCACCGCCCUGCCACUCAGAGACACCCAGGAGCCCAGCUGGGGAAGGGUGCACUCCACAGUUAGCCUGUCCGGCUCCAGAUGUUCGGGCCUGGGCUGGUCACCUAGAGUCCUCAACCUGGUGUCCUCGAAGAGUGGCCAGGCUUUGGAACCAGCAUCUCUACAGCCCUGAACUCCCAGCGAUCCUCCUGCCUCAGGCUCCGGAGUGCAGGGAUCACAGGAGUCUGGGCCUGGUGUGGCUGGGCCCUCUCAGAGGCGGCACCAAGGUUGUCAGGGCUGAGAUGUCAUCUGAAGCUUGGUGGAGGAGACCCACAUCUUACCUUGUGAUCUUGCUGGGCAAUUCAGAACUGUUGAGCCAAGGGCCGGCCGGCCUGCCUGCCUGCCUUCCUUCCUUCCUUCCCUUCCUUCCUUCCUGAACCCAGGGCCUUUGCACUGAGCUACAUCCCCAGCUUUUUUAAUUAAAAAAAAUUUUUUUUAUCAUGAGACAAGUUCUCCCUAAGUUGUUAAAGUGUCCAGUCUAGGUUUGAACUUAAGAUCCUCCUACCUCAGCCUUCGGAGUGCUUGCCAUGGUCUGUUGGUGAAGAUGCAAGUCCCAGCCCUGCCCACACUCAAG